rnacentral:rRNA from 1 species
AACGAACGCUGGCGGCAUGCCUAACACAUGCAAGUCGAACGAGACCUUCGGGUCUAGUGGCGCACGGGUGCGUAACGCGUGGGAACCUGCCCUUAGGUUCGGAAUAACUCCCCGAAAGGGGUGCUAAUACCGGAUAAUGUCUUCGGACCAAAGAUUUAUCGCCUUUGGAUGGGCCCGCGUUGGAUUAGCUAGUUGGUAGGGUAAAAGCCUACCAAGGCGAGGAUCCAUAGCUGGUCUGAGAGGAUGAGCAGCCACACUGGGACUGAGACACGGUCCAGACUCCUACGGGAGGCAGCAGUGGGGAAUAUUGGACAACGGGCGAAAGCCUGAUCCAGCACUGCCGGGUGAGUGAUGAAGGUCUUAGGGUUGUAAAGCUCGUUUACCCGGGAUGAUAAUGACGGUACCGGGAGAAUAAGCUCCGGCUAACUCCGUG